UUGGAGGGCAAGUCUGGUGCCAGCAGCCGCGGUAAUUCCAGCUCCAAUAGCGUAUGUUAAAGUUGUUGCAGUUAAAAAGCUCGUAGUUGAAUUUCGGGGUUAGUAGGUUGGUCAUGCCUCUGGUAUGUACUGGUCUCACUGAUUCCUCCUUCCUGAUGAGCCGUAAUGCCAUUAAUUUGGUGUUGCGGGGAAUUUGGACUGUUACUUUGAAAAAAUUAGAGUGUUUAAAGCAAGCUAACGCUUGAAUACAUUAGCAUGGAAUAAUGAAAUAGGACGUUCGAUCCUAUUUUGUUGGUUUCUAGGAUUGACGUAAUGAUUAAUAGGGAUAGUUGGGGGCAUUAGUAUUCAAUUGUCAGAGGUGAAAUUCUUGGAUUUAUUGAAGACUAACUACUGCGAAAGCAUUUGCCAAGGAUGUUUUCAUUAAUCAAGAACGAAAGUUAGGGGAUCGAAGACGAUCAGAUACCGUCGUAGUCUUAACCAUAAACUAUGCCGACUAGGGAUCGGAUGAUGUUAAUUUUUUAAUGACUCAUUCGGCGCCUUACGGGAAAC
rnacentral:rRNA from 1 species